rnacentral:misc_RNA from 1 species
GAUGAAGAACGUAGCGAAAUGCGAUAAGUAAUGUGAAUUGCAGAAUUCAGUGAAUCAUCGAAUCUUUGAACGCACCUUGCGCCCUUUGGCUAUUCCGAAGGGCAUGCCUGUUUGAGUAUCAUGAACACCUCAACUCUUCACGGCUUGCCGUGAUGAGUUUGGACUUUGGGGGUCUUGCUGGCCUACGAGCCAGCUCCUCUCAAAUGUAUUAGCUUGCCGGUGUUUGGUGGCAUCACAGGUGUGAUAACUAUCUACGCUUGUGGUUUUCCACUAGGUAACCUUCAGCAAUGGAGGUUCACCGGAGCUCACAAAUGUCUCUCCUUGACAAGGACAGAUUUUGACCAUUUGAUCUCAAAUCAGGUAGGACUACCAGCUGAACUUAAGCAUAUCAAUAAGCGGAGGA